rnacentral:rRNA from 1 species
GCUUAGAGUUUGAUCCUGGCUCAGAAUCAACGCUGGCGGCGCGCCUAACACAUGCAAGUCGAACGAGAAAGCAUCCUUCGGGGUGUGAGUACAGUGGCGCACGGGUGAGUAACACGUGGAUACCUGCCUUUCGAUGGGGGAUAACUCCGGGAAACUGGAGCUAAUACCGCAUACGACCGAGAGGUGAAAGGAGCAAUCCGUCGAAAGAGGGGUCCGCGGCCGAUUAGCUAGUUGGUGGGGUAAAGGCUCACCAAGGCAUCGAUCGGUAGCCGGCCUGAGAGGGCACACGGCCACACUGGCACUGAAACACGGGCCAGACUCCUACGGGAGGCAGCAGUGGGGAAUCUUGCACAAUGGGGGAAACCCUGAUGCAGCGACGCCGCGUGAGCGAGGAAGCCCUUCGGGGUGUAAAGCUCUUACGCCAGGAAAGAUCGUGACGGUACCUGGAGAAGCAGCUGCGGCUAACUACGUGCCAGCAGCCGCGGUAAUACGUAGGCAGCAAGCGUUGUUCGGAAUUACUGGGCGUAAAGCGUGCGUAGGCGGUGCUCUAAGUUUGGUGUGAAAUCUCCCGGCUUAACUGGGAGGGUGCGCCGAAAACUGGAGUGCUUGAGUGCGGGAUGGGAAAGCGGAAUUCCUGGUGUAGCGGUGAAAUGCGUAGAUAUCAGGAGGAACACCGGUGGUGAAGACGGCUUUCUGGACCGCAACUGACGCUGAGGCACGAAAGCGUGGGGAGCAAACAGGAUUAGAUACCCUGGUAGUCCACGCCCUAAACGAUGCGGACUUGGUGUAAGCCCUUCACUGGGUUUGUGCCGGAGUUAACGCGUUAAGUCCGCCGCCUGGGGAGUACGGUCGCAAGGCUGAAACUCAAAGG